rnacentral:rRNA from 1 species
AACGCUGGCGGCGUGCUUAACACAUGCAAGUCGAACGAGAAUCACUGGAAGGAGUUUUCGGACAACGGAAGGUGAGGACAGUGGCGGACGGGUGAGUAACGCGUGAGGAACCUGCCUUUCAGAGGGGGACAACAGUUGGAAACGACUGCUAAUACCGCAUGACACAUAGAGAUCGCAUGGUUUUUAUGUCAAAGAUUUAUCGCUGAAAGAUGGCCUCGCGUCUGAUUAGCUAGUUGGUGAGGUAACGGCCCACCAAGGCGACGAUCAGUAGCCGGACUGAGAGGUUGACCGGCCACAUUGGGACUGAGAUACGGCCCAGACUCCUACGGGAGGCAGCAGUGGGGAAUAUUGGGCAAUGGGCGCAAGCCUGACCCAGCAACGCCGCGUGAAGGAAGAAGGCUUUCGGGUUGUAAACUUCUUUUGUCGGGGACGAGUAGAAGACGGUACCUGGCGAAUAAGCCACGGCUAACUACGUG